UACGAAGGGGGCUAGCGUUGUUCGGAAUUACUGGGCGUAAAGCGCAUGUAGGCGGAUCUUUAAGUCAGGGGUGAAAUCCCAAGGCUCAACCUUGGAACUGCCUUUGAUACUGGGGAUCUCGAGUCCGGAAGAGGUGAGUGGAACUGCGAGUGUAGAGGUGAAAUUCGUAGAUAUUCGCAAGAACACCAGUGGCGAAGGCGGCUCACUGGUCCGGUACUGACGCUGAGGUGCGAAAGCGUGGGGAGCAAACAGG
rnacentral:rRNA from 1 species